GGAGGCAGCAGUGGGGAAUAUUGCACAAUGGGCGCAAGCCUGAUGCAGCCAUGCCGCGUGUAUGAAGAAGGCCUUCGGGUUGUAAAGUACUUUCAGCAGUGAGGAAGGUGUUGUCGUUAAUAGCGGCCUCAUUUGACGUUAGCUGCAGAAGAAGCACCGGCUAACUCCGUGCCAGCAGCCGCGGUAAUACGGAGGGUGCGAGCGUUAAUCGGAAUUACUGGGCGUAAAGCGCAUGCAG
rnacentral:rRNA from 1 species